GUGCUUGCUUCGGGAGCACCUAUACUAAAAUUGGGAAUGAUACAGAGAUUAGCAUGGCCCCUGUGCAUGGCUGACAUGCAAAUUCUUGAAGCAAAAAAAAAAAAU